UGCAGUCGAACGAUGAACCACUUCGGUGGGGAUUAGUGGCGAACGGGUGAGUAACACGUGGGCAAUCUGCCCUUCACUCUGGGACAAGCCCUGGAAACGGGGUCUAAUACCGGAUACGACCUGCCAAGGCAUCUUGGCGGGUGGAAAGCUCCGGCGGUGAAGGAUGAGCCCGCGGCCUAUCAGCUUGUUGGUGAGGUAACGGCUCACCAAGGCGACGACGGGUAGCCGGCCUGAGAGGGCGACCGGCCACACUGGGACUGAGACACGGCCCAGACUCCUACGGGAGGCAGCAGUGGGGAAUAUUGCACAAUGGGCGAAAGCCUGAUGCAGCGACGCCGCGUGAGGGAUGACGGCCUUCGGGUUGUAAACCUCUUUCAGCAGGGAAGAAGCGAAAGUGACGGUACCUGCAGAAGAAGCGCCGGCUAACUACGUGCCAGCAGCCGCGGUAAUACGUAGGGCGCGAGCGUUGUCCGGAAUUAUUGGGCGUAAAGAGCUCGUAGGCGGCUUGUCACGUCGGUUGUGAAAGCCCGGGGCUUAACCCCGGGUCUGCAGUCGAUACGGGCAGGCUAGAGUUCGGUAGGGGAGAUCGGAAUUCCUGGUGUAGCGGUGAAAUGCGCAGAUAUCAGGAGGAACACCGGUGGCGAAGGCGGAUCUCUGGGCCGAUACUGACGCUGAGGAGCGAAAGCGUGGGGAGCGAACAGGAUUAGAUACCCUGGUAGUCCACGCCGUAAACGGUGGGCACUAGGUGUGGGCAACAUUCCACGUUGUCCGUGCCGCAGCUAACGCAUUAAGUGCCCCGCCUGGGGAGUACGGCCGCAAGGCUAAAACUCAAAGGAAUUGACGGGGGCCC
rnacentral:rRNA from 1 species